rnacentral:rRNA from 1 species
AGAGUUUGAUCCUGGCUCAGGAUGAACGCUGGCGGCGCGCCUAACACAUGCAAGUCGAACGGCACCCACCUCCGGGUGGAAGCGAGUGGCGAACGGCUGAGUAACACGUGGAGAACCUGCCCCCUCCCCCGGGAUAGCCGCCCGAAAGGACGGGUAAUACCGGAUACCCCGGGGGGGGGGGUGGGACCCCGGCCUAAAGCCCCGACGGGAGGGGAUGGCUCCGCGGCCCAUCAGGUAGACGGCGGGGUGACGGCCCACCGUGCCGACAACGGGUAGCCGGGUUGAGAGACCGACCGGCCAGAUUGGGACUGAGACACGGCCCAGACUCCUACGGGAGGCAGCAGUGGGGAAUCUUGCGCAAUGGGGGGAACCCUGACGCAGCGACGCCGCGUGCGGGACGGAGGCCUUCGGGUCGUAAACCGCUUUCAGCAGGGAAGAGUCAAGACUGUACCUGCAGAAGAAGCCCCGGCUAACUACGUGCCAGCAGCCGCGGUAAUACGUAGGGGGCGAGCGUUAUCCGGAUUCAUUGGGCGUAAAGCGCGCGUAGGCGGCCCGGCAGGCCGGGGGUCGAAGCGGGGGGCUCAACCCCCCGAAGCCCCCGGAACCUCCGCGGCUUGGGUCCGGUAGGGGAGGGUGGAACACCCGGUGUAGCGGUGGAAUGCGCAGAUAUCGGGUGGAACACCGGUGGCGAAGGCGGCCCUCUGGGCCGAGACCGACGCUGAGGCGCGAAAGCUGGGGGAGCGAACAGGAUUAGAUACCCUGGUAGUCCCAGCCGUAAACGAUGGACGCUAGGUGUGGGGGGGACGAUCCCCCCGUGCCGCAGCCAACGCAUUAAGCGUCCCGCCUGGGGAGUACGGCCGCAAGGCUAAAACUCAAAGGAAUUGACGGGGGCCCGCACAAGCAGCGGAGCAUGUGGCUUAAUUCGAAGCAACGCGAAGAACCUUACCAGGGCUUGACAUAUGGGUGAAGCGGGGGAGACCCCGUGGCCGAGAGGAGCCCAUACAGGUGGUGCAUGGCUGUCGUCAGCUCGUGUCGUGAGAUGUUGGGUUAAGUCCCGCAACGAGCGCAACCCCCGCCGCGUGUUGCCAUCGGGUGAUGCCGGGAACCCACGCGGGACCGCCGCCGUCAAGGCGGAGGAGGGCGGGGACGACGUCAAGUCAUCAUGCCCCUUAUGCCCUGGGCUGCACACGUGCUACAAUGGCCGGUACAGAGGGAUGCCACCCCGCGAGGGGGAGCGGAUCCCGGAAAGCCGGCCCCAGUUCGGAUUGGGGGCUGCAACCCGCCCCCAUGAAGUCGGAGUUGCUAGUAAUCGCGGAUCAGCAUGCCGCGGUGAAUGCGUUCCCGGGCCUUGCACACCCGCCCGUCA